UGUGCCCUGGCAGCUUUGGCCCAUCAUAAGCGCGCGCGCGUCUCUCUCAAGUCUGAACGGGACCAAAAGUCAUAGUAGGGGAAGGCGCUCACAUCAGGCGCAUACACCACGUCCACAUGGCAGGGAGCGGGGCCAGCGCGGUUCAGCUGAGGAUAGCCUCCGUCCUGGGCUGAACUCGAUGUUACAAAUAGGAGCUGCGGCAGUCCAAGUGGAGCAGAGCAGAGGGAGGCGCGUCUCACUCGCGGUAAUAUUAAGUAAGAGUGAGGAACAGGCAGCAAGCGCAGCCGCGGCAAACAGAAACAACGAGCGGACGGAACAACUCGCACGUUUUACGGACAAAUUCAUUGUGAAGGGAGCUGCCGGAGAGGACUAUUUACGACAGGUGGUGCUGUUGCUGCGUCUUCUAGUGGAUCAGGCUCAACAAGCGCUCAACAGUGCUCCAGCACAAGAACGUCUACAGGUGG
rnacentral:lncRNA from 1 species